UACGUAGGGUGCAAGCGUUAAUCGGAAUUACUGGGCGUAAAGCGUGCGCAGGCGGUUAUGUAAGACAGUUGUGAAAUCCCCGGGCUCAACCCGGGAACUGCGUCCGAGACUGGAAGGCUUGAAUCCGGGAGAGGGAUGUGGAAUUCCAGGUGUAGCGGUGAAAUGCGUAGAUAUCUGGAGGAACAUCGGUGGCGAAGGCGGCAUCCUGGACCGGUAUUGACGCUGAGGCGCGAAAGCCAGGGGAGCAAACGGG
rnacentral:rRNA from 1 species